CAGCCGCCGCGGUAAUACCGGCGGCCCGAGUGGCGGCCACUCUUAUUGGGCUUAAAGCGUCCGUAGCCGGGUUGGUUAGUCUCCCGGGAAAUCUGGCCGCUUAACGGUCAGAAUUCCGGGAGAUACUGCCAGCCUAGGGACCGGGAGAGGCCGAGGGGAUUCCCGGGGUAGGGGUGAAAUCCUAUAAUCCCGGGAGGACCACCUGUGGCGAAGGCGCUCGGCUGGAACGGGUCCGACGGUGAGGGACGAAGGCCAGGGGAGCAAACCGGAUUAGAUGCCCGGGUAGUCCUGGCUGUAAACGAUGCGGACUUUGUGUCGGACAAGCUAUGAGCUUGUCCGGUGCCGGAGGGAAACCGUUAAGUCCGCCGCCUGGGGAGUACGGCCGCAAGGCUGAAACUUAAAGGAAUUGGCGGG
rnacentral:rRNA from 1 species